GUACCUACGGGAGGCCGCAGUGCGGCCUCUUGGUCCCUUGUCGGGAGCCUGAACCAGCCAAGCCGCGUGAGGGAAGAAGGUACAGCGUAUCGUAAACCUCUUUUGUCAGGGAACAAAGGCGGGGACUAGUCCCCGGAUGAGGGUACCUGAAGAAAAAGCAUCGGCUAACUCCGUGCCAGCAGCCGCGGUAAUACGGAGGAUGCGAGCGUUAUCCGGAUUUAUUGGGUUUAAAGGGUGCGCAGGCGGCCUGUUAAGUCAGCGGUAAAAGCCCGGGGCUCAACCCCGGCGAGCCGUUGAAACUGGCG
rnacentral:rRNA from 1 species